rnacentral:lncRNA from 1 species
AUGUCAGAAGUCUUUAGUUUGCAGCUUACACCGAAUUAUUAUGAUUAUCCGCAAAGAUUACGCAAAAGUCCAUUCACUUUGUGCAAAACUCAAAGCAAAAACGACGACGAUAUUUGCAUUAAAAGAAAUUCAUAUUUCAUUAACUUGGAUGCAGACUACACUUCAAAGAAAAUUUGGCAAAACUGUUUCAACCAGAGCAACGAUGCGAAGUAUAAAAACAAAGAAUAUCUCAUCAGCAAUGUUAUGGACCAAAAUUUGAAUUUGAGUUUUCAAACUCCGGAACCUAUAUUCCUAAAAAAUUCCCAAUCCUUUUCUUUGAUUCCUAACCCUCUAAACCCAAUCUCUCAAUUAGAUGAACUAGCCGCAGAAAAGAGCAAAGUCAACAGGAUAUCACAUGCAAAGUUUGAUAAAUCUGAAAUCAUACAUGAAAAUGUUCAUGAUUCAGGUACUUCCCGUAUGAUAUGUGCAGCAAACAAUAAUAGCUUGAUGAAAAUGAAACAACAAAACCUGAAUGCCAAAAGAAAUUAUUUUGAUCAAUAUGAAUUAAAUGCCAUUCUCUCAUUUACUGAUCUUAUAAAUUUAAGUGAUAGGCAUGGUUUAUUUAAUAAAAUUGAAAGUGAAAGUGGAACUCAGACCUUUUCUUCUACCAGCUCUGAAAAUUUCAUUACAACUUUUGAGAGAGAAGAAAAUAUUCGAGUGAAUCAAAGACAAAACAUAAGAAAACCUGAGAAAAGAAUUUCAAAUUCUUCUUUGCAAAACCACCAGAGCACACAUCUAUCUGAAAAAUCUGAGAGGGCACCGAUGAACACAGAAUAUACAAAAACAAAAUUGGAUGCAAAGUCAUGGCGAGAUUUGAUCACCAACCUUCUAUUUGAUAAUCAAAAGUUUGUACCUUCCCAUGAAGAAAAUGAGGCAUUGCUACGAUUGCAAAAGACCAACACCAUGUUGAGUGCGUCUGAUAAUGUUUCAGCGCCACUGACAAGUUUUUACUUUGAUUGUGCUAUGGAUGCUACAAAAAAAGAAAAUGUUAAAAAAAAUGCAGAUUUGAAAAAUGAUCAAUCAGAAUUAAAUAAUUAUGCAAACAAUGAAAACCUUCGAGUAAAUCAAAGAGCACCACCAGUGAAAAACCGUCUUCAAUCAAAAAAUAUACCAAAAAACUUUCAAAUUGAUCAGAAUUCAAUAAUCAAUUCAUUCAAACAGAGAAAACAGGAGAAAAAUAAACGACCAAAAACUCAGUUCAAAGCAAGAAAAGUACAGUUAGCAUAA